rnacentral:rRNA from 1 species
ACGGAAGGCAGCAGUGGGGGAUAUUGCACAAUGGGGGAAACCCUGAUGCAGCGACGCCGCGUGAGCGAAGAAGUAUUUCGGUAUGUAAAGCUCUAUCAGCAGGGAAGAAAAUGACGGUACCUGACUAAGAAGCUCCGGCUAACUACGUGCCAGCAGCCGCGGUAAUACGUAGGGGGCAAGCGUUAUCCGGACUUACUGGGUGUAAAGGGAGCGUAGGCGGCUGAGUAAGUCAGAAGUGAAAGCCCGGGGCUCAACCCCGGGACGGCUUUUGAAACUGCCCGGCUUGAUUUCAGGGGAGGAAAGCGGAAUUCCUAGUGUAGCGGUGAAAUGCGUAGAUAUUAGGAGGAACACCAGUGGCGAAGGCGGCUUUCUGGACUGACAAUGACGCUGAGGCUCGAAAGCGUGGGGAGCAAACAGGAUUAGAUACCCUGGUA